rnacentral:rRNA from 1 species
UGGGGAAUAUUGCACAAUGGGGGAAACCCUGAUGCAGCAACGCCGCGUGAGUGAAGAAGUAUUUCGGUAUGUAAAGCUCUAUCAGCAGGGAAGAAAAUGACGGUACCUGACUAAGAAGCCCCGGCUAACUACGUGCCAGCAGCCGCGGUAAUACGUAGGGGGCAAGCGUUAUCCGGAUUUACUGGGUGUAAAGGGAGCGCAGGCGGUCUGGCAAGUCUGAUGUGAAAGCCCGGGGCUCAACCCCGGGACUGCAUUGGAAACUGUCAGACUAGAGUGCCGGAGAGGUAAGUGGAAUUCCUAGUGUAGCGGUGAAAUGCGUAGAGAUCAGGAGGAACAUCGGUGGCGAAGGCGGCUUACUGGGCUUUUACUGACGCUGAGGCUCGAAAGCGUGGGGAGCAAACAGGAUUAGAUACCCUGGUAGU